CGGUAGGGUGCGAGCGUUGUCCGGAAUUACUGGGCGUAAAGAGCUCGUAGGUGGUUUGUCGCGUUGUCCGUGAAAACUCACAACUCAAUUGUGGGCGUGCGGGCGAUACGGGCAGACUGGAGUACUGCAGGGGAGACUGGAAUUCCUGGUGUAGCGGUGGAAUGCGCAGAUAUCAGGAGGAACACCGGUGGCGAAGGCGGGUCUCUGGGCAGUAACUGACGCUGAGGAGCGAAAGCGUGGGGAGCGAACAGGAUUAGAUACCCUGGUAGUCCACGCCGUAAACGGUGGGUACUAGGUGUGGGUUUCCUUCCUUGGGAUCCGUGCCGUAGCUAACGCAUUAAGUACCCCGCCUGGGGAGUACGGCCGCAAGGCUA
rnacentral:rRNA from 1 species